UCUAUGUUCUGACGUUUUAAACUCUGAAGAGUGUCAGACGAAAAGCUUUAGUUUACUAAAUGUUUGCUUUUUUCAAAGCCAUUUACAAGUUUUGUACCACCAAAAGAUUGUUUGCAUAUAUUGCAUAUAUAGACAAAUGGUUAUAAAAUUGGGAUAUCCUGUUUAUGCAGAUAAAUCGCGAAUAGAAAAAGCAUUGGAGCUGGGUGUGACAUAAUAAUAGUGUUGAUGGUGUGGUAUCGAGGCAUCUUACAAUGUCAUAUGAUGCUCAAAAUUUAGUAUGAGUUUACCAAUCUCCAAGGUUGUUGUGCCUUUGUAAGGCGAGAAUGGGGGUUUUUGACCAUAUGUUUUGUAAUUCUUUAUCCUUUGUUAUAAUAUUCCAGUGUUUCUUGAGAAUUUCACGGAUAUGAAUGGUGCGGUUGUCAUAGGGUAUAAUGAAGGGAAAAACAGAGCCCUUCGGUGUGGAGAAACUGCCGUCAUUUAUUUGUUUAGAUUCAAGUAGUUGCGAUUGCGAUAGUCUAAUGACCUUAUUGAACUGUUCAUUUAUAUCAUUUAGCAACGUGUACCAUCCAAAUGAAGAAAUCUUGAAUCGAUUUUGUGAGGUCAUCACCUAGCCCGUUUGUAGGUCUCAAUAGUUCUAGGAGUGCAGUUUUAGGUGAAAAAGGACCCUUGCAAAAAUUUCAUGUUACUGUAUUCGUAAGCAAACCUGUGCAUAGGCUCAAGACCUGUUGCAAAUCCUUUUAUAGACUUGGUUUAAUAGGCUAUGCUCUGAAUACCUUUUUGCAGUUUUUACGAAAUCACUGUUCCAUUAGAGUUGCAGCUUAGAGUUAUCCUUUUCUAUAAACUAAAGCACAUAUCCAAUUUGAAAACAACCAUCGCAACCUUUUCGGUCGUCGGCCUAAAUUUGACACUUUAAUAAGUCACCCGUAGUGAUGAAGCUUUUAUGAAGUUCCCUGUACAUGAUGUAUAUCGAAUUGAUUCAAGAACUGCCUCAAAACAAAGAGCAUUUUACCAUCUAUCUACAGCAGAAUACAAACGGUACAAAUCCCGCCAUGGACUUAUAGCCAAUGCAUGCAAGGAUAAAGUUAUUUCAAAAUACAUUUUGAUCUACGGCCUAAAGUGAUAUAAUAGAAAUAAGCUGACAGUAACCAAUCUUAUAUGUGGAUGCAAAAGCGUUGUGCUACAAUUUUUCCAACCCUGAGAUCUCUCAACGCACUUUUUAUGUUUAAAACAUCGAAAGUAAGGAUUCACAUCGUUUUUUAAAAUGCUUUUUAUAUUGCAUCAGUUUAAAGCAGGCGAAGUUUAGCUGUUUUGUAAAGAGGGUGCUCAAAGUGUCAGCACUGUCUUGAAAACGCCAAGAAGCUAAUUGAAAGGGCCAAUCUGUUCUGGGUAAGUUUGUUAUUGUGUCUUGACUCCCUUUGCAUGUGUCUAAAAACAAUUUAGAACAAUGCGUCUUGACUCCCUUUGCAUGUGUCUAAAAAACAAUUUAGAACAAUGCGUCUUGACUCCCUUUGCCCUGUAUCGAAUACUCAGGAGAUUUGCAAGCAGGCGCAGAAUCACUGCUUGCCAUCUGAAACAACUGAGCACAAAUCAAUGGCGCCCGCGUCCCAAGACACUAGUCCCAGGGAAAAAAAGCACGAGAUUGGGGUAGUAUUUAAGCCACGAGCCUCUAGUUGUUCGGCCUUUGCUUCUCGAGGUUCGUUGGGAAAGGCAGCCCUGUAACACUUGGAAAAAGCAAUGUAUGUAAAAAUCAACUCUAAAUUCCCCUACUGUUAAUUUUAUGCAACUUUCUCAUCAUUAACAGCACCAAAAUAAUGUAAUGUUUCAUUUUUAUUGGUUUUCAUACUUAGGGACUGCCAGAAAGGAGUAUUAAAGAAAGUUUCAUCAACAGCGGGUUGAAAUAUUAUUUAGGGCCUAAAGUGCAUUAAGAUUCAAAUUCUAUUUUCAUUGAAAAUUGUUCACCCUUGCCCUUACCCGCCAAUAUUCAAAGCUAACAAGCCUGUUCUUUACUUACCGAUUUCUCUAUAAUUUUUAUUUUUUAUAAUGAUAAAACAUAUAUUCUGUUGAAGCUAAAAAACGCUCUAUGUGAUUAUUUAAUUGUUUAAUUACGAAGUUUCUAUUCCUUAUCUACCCUAGGUUGCAAAAUUUGUCAUAUUUAUCAUGUUUAGGCCACAAUAGUGUUUAUCCAUUUUCCUUUUUUAAUUAGUUUGCAAUGUUGCUUCGAAUUGUUGUAUUAUAAGAAUUGAAUACUUUAUCCCUGAACAAUGCUUUAAUAUUUUAUUGCUUAAAAGGUCUAACUCUGGGUACAUCUCUUUUAGAUAACCAAAAUGGCCAACAGUUGUUGUCAGUAAAAAUGAUGCGCUAAAGUUAAUGUUUGAGAAAACUUCAAAAAAGGUAAGCCUAUCGUUUUUCUACUCAACAAAUUUAUUCGAAAGCUAGUUCGAUCUUUUCACGAAAGUCAAUUGCUUGAUUUCUGAUAGGAAAUGGAAAGAUAGAUUUGAAAAUAAUAGAACUCGAUAAUUUUUUAAAAAUUCCCUACUAUCGAUAUUAUAGAAGCUAUUUCAGGCAAAAGAAAUUCAUUUUUUCAUCAAAUCCAUAUUUGUUGAGGUAAAAUUGGAAUGUUUAAAUCGAACUGGGUUUUAAGAUAAUUAUUUCUGAAUUUAAGAUAUAGUUUUCGUUAAUAUCAUAUCAUGAAGGCAAACGAUUUGAUUGUGCUGUGAUAAAUGUUUUAUUCAAACAUUAAUAAAUAUCUUAAUACAAGGUAUGAAUCAAAGGAUGCCUUAAAAUUAGUUGAAUCCCAAAACUACUUUCAAUUAAGUUACAAUAACAAAUGUUCUAAAUUUCCUAACAUAAUGAUAGGUAGUAGAUUAUAGAUAAAAUUAUAGAGUAUCAUUUUCGAGUAUCAUUUUCAAAUAAGUGUUUAUUUUGCAAAACUUUUUAAGAAAAAUAUGCAGCAUCAUUAGACGUUUCAAAUCUAAAAUGCAUUUUUACGCUGUAUUACUUUAUUCGAAUGCAAGAUUUGAAAAUUUUAAGAAAAAAAUCGUAUUUUCGAAGCAAAUCACGGACUUAAGAAAAUUUGUAAUUUUGUAAUUUUUUGAGUCACUAGUUCUGUUAACGGUGGCAGUUGGGAUGUUGGGGUUGGUUUGUUUUGAUAUUAGGGCGCUGUUCUAGUUGUUGGUCAUGGUUUGGUUGAGUUGCAUUGGUUUAGACGUCGGCUAAUGGUGAAGGGUGUGAAGGAUUGUUGGAUGUGGUUGGUCAUCUCAAAACAGUCUAGUGAUUCAAAGUUUACAAAAAUCAAGAAAAAUCUAAAAAUGCCUUUCUGGAUAUACCUUCCGUUUUUUCUCUACCAACAAUCGUAUUUCAGUCGAUCUAAAAAAUUUUCUUGAUAUAAACAUGAAAAUUCUAUUAUCUUCUAUUCAAAAUUUAACACUUUGCAUUAUAUAAAGUACUGAAAAAAUUUAUAUUUUCCUUCUAAGAUCAUACUUUGUUUUUGUUCAAAUACAACUCGUUAGGCUAAUAUGAACCUGAUCCACGGACGAACAUCUUUAAGUAAAUGUUUAUGUUAAAUGUUUAAGUAAGUUGAUUUUAAUUUGAAAAAUCUAGUUUAUUGUCUCUACUAAAUGGUCUUGCUGACAUUUUUCCAAAUUUCUUUGUCGUUCUCCAGCAAAAUAUUAAUGCAACUGCUUAUUUUUUAUUAUUUUUUUGACAACACUACCCUCACAAUUUUAUCCACACCAAAUUUUCACUGAAUUUUUAACUAACUGUAUCCUUUAAUGACAUCAUUAAAAAGAUUAAAAGGAAAGUUAAUUUUCACUCGCUAUUUUAGGACGUUUAGACUUGUGCUUUGGCCUGCAAACUAUGAUCAAAACAGAAUUAAUUAAAUCUUCGAACGCCGUUCUACAAUUCAUAAUUGCAUGUAAAAAAUGGAAAAAUGCUUUAUAGUUGUGAAAAGUAAAAGCAAAUCAUGGUGGCAUUGGAAAAGAUAAACUCUAUUUUAAAUUCUAUAUAAAUUUUAUGCAUCUCAUGUUUACAGCAACGUUUGUAAGUAUUAUGAUAGCCAUUCAAACAACUAUUGUUUUAUGAGAAACAGAAUAUUUAUUGAUCAAAAGGCAAUUCCUUUUACGGCAACUCUAAAUGAACAAUUAUUGUACCCUUGUUUCAGAAUAUGAUAUAUAUAUAUGUAUAUAUGAAUAUAUGUUCAAGACAAACUUUAUCGCAUUUCUUAGGCCUCCUUAGGUUUAAAAUAUUUUUAGAUGAUUCUCAGCUAUACUGGAUAUUUUUUCACAUUUUAAUCGGAAUCAACUAAUUAUGAACAACGUCAACUUCAGAAGAAACUUUCAUUGAAAUUUUGUGAAAGUCUAAACUGAGAUAUCUACCCCAUUUGACUUGUUCUUUAUUUUUUUUCUAGGUUUGGUCGCCGAAAGUUUUUCUCUUGUGACAGCUUUUGUUUCCAAGAGGAUUUCUGGGCCGAGUUUUAAAGCUUUUUUAACCUAAUUUGUCUUCAGUUCUUCCCUUUAGGAAAAGAACCUUUUGGAAUGGUUGAUUUGAAAACAUGCUUUGCAAUUGAGUACAGUGAUGGUCCAUGAGAUUGAAAACUACUGUUGUUUAGUGGGUAACUAUUGCAACAAAGUUUGCAUCCAUAAAAUCAUAAAAUGUUGGUCCGUUCGAACAGAUUUAAAGGUAAUCCUUUACCAAAUAGUAGUUAAUACUCUUUAUAAUUAUGUUUGCUUUUUUCCAAAAUCUUAUUUAUUACUUUGUUGUUUUUUUUGGUUUUCAGGUUUAAUUGACAUAUAUGAAACAUUUCGGAGAGUUUUGCGAUGUUUUUUGUAUCCUUGGCUCUUGGCAUUCAUAUUCUUUCCUUAAAAAACUUAUAAUUUUAGAUCAAAUGUUUCUCAGAUUGUUCUAGCAGCUUUCAGUGAAAAAUCAAGAUUAGAAAGAAAGUAAGUAAAUUAUAACAUAAGUUUUUUGCUGAUUUUUUCUGCGAAAAUUAAAAGAUAGCCAUGAUAAUAGGAUGGAUAAUAGUUCACCUUCUAGGCGUUUUGAUGAACUUAAAUAUUUAUAUACUUUGUGCUUUUCAUAACGAUCAGCAUUAUUCUUACACAAUUUUCAUUUUUAGCCAUUUCAAUUCCAGCUUUAGACAUUCAGAGGCAAAGCAGAUUGAUUUAAAAAUGAAAUAGAACUGCAAUUUUUUGGUAUAUUCUUUUCCAUUCGUUAAUAACAAUUAUAAUGAAUUGUUCAGUUUACAAACAUCUUUCUCCUUGGCGGUUAUAUUCUUCAAACAUUGGCUUGACAAUUGGAAGUUUGUUUGGAGGCGAAUUGGUGAAAGACUAUAUUAUCUUACUCGUUGAAGAAGAUGCUUAUAAAGAUUAUUUUGUUUGCAUGUUUUUUGUCAUUUUUGUCUGCCCUUUUGUCAUUUAAUUAUGGAUAUUGAGGGACAUUGAAACGAGAGACAUGAAAAAGGUCUGAGGCUGAUUUUGGAGCUAUGCUAAUACCUUCUGGUGAAUUGCUGAGUUCUGAGUUUGGAAAUGAGUAUCAUUUGACUUCCUGUAUAUUUUAUGUUUCUAGAAAAUAAUCUUUGACAACUGUACAGUCAUUUAUUAUAUAAUUAAAAUUUUUCUCGUGAGAUCUUGGUGAAGUGACCAAAAUUAUACAAUUGUCCCUAAUUUUGGGCAUCUUUCUAAUUUUCUUUGUGCCCUUAUUGAUUUUAGUGACUCAAAGGUUAACUAAUCUGUCUUUUAUAUUUUUUACCAUUUUUAGGGGUCCAAUAUACUUCGAAAUGAACUUUUGUUGAAUUUAAAAUUUACUUUGUUUCAUCAUUUUUCCUCACAACAACAAAGUAGACAUAAUUAUGAAGCUUCAAAAUGGCUUUUUGAAACAUAUAGGCAUAAUAUUUUCAAGUUAAAUUUCGGUAAUAUUUGGAAGACCUUUUUUCAUUUUUAGGCACAUUUUUACAAUGUUGAGCUAUUCGUUUCUUCACUGGAGACUGUCUUGGGUUCUUUUUCGUUGUUUUUCACAAGAAAUUUUUUUUUUGAUGCUUUAACCAACCUUUCCCAAGCUAUUUAUUUAGGAAGAAGUCUUAACGGAUUUCGUGAUUUCAAAAUUUGGUAAGUUUUCCAAUUAUUAAAUAAAACUAACUUCAAAUUUUAGUACAUUCUGAAAUAAAUUGAACUCUAUUUUGUUUAAUGAGAUUAUUUUUAAAACUUUUAUAUUAAUUGAGAAUUGUUGAAUAUCUAAUGGGCUGUGAUUAUUAUUUCUUUUACAAGAGCAUCUAAGUUCCAAUCUUUUUAUGGUCAUAAAUGUAGCCACAAAAUACAUCGCAGUAUUAAGUUUUGUCAUCCAAUUUUCUGGCUAAUCUUUAUCUGACCCUUAGCAAACUUAUUAGCCCAAUUUUUCUAUUAUCAUGUAUCCAUAAAUUUUCCCUGUCACUAACAUUAUCUUUAACUUAUUUCAGCUUCACUAGUGACAUUUGUUGAAGCAAAUAAAAGCUAAUAGUUGCUGGUAAAUGGGUAUGUUUUUAAUCCAUAAUUUUUUAUUUAAACUUUCCUGAGAUUUAGCGUGUUAGAUGCCUUGUUAAAUUGGGAGAUCUUUGUUUUCAACUUUUUUCAUUAUUUUGUCAGACUUAAAGAAAACAAUAGUAUUGGAAGAAAUUUAUGAAUGUUUUUAAAGAAGAAAGUUUAUUAAACAAAUGUGGUUUUUUUAAUAAACUUACUUGUUUUAAAAAAUAACAUGUUAUUCAAUCUGUCUCUAAAAACUUGAAUUGGAUUAAAUCGUGGCUAAAUUGGUUCAUUAGAAUCACUCUAAACCUCGAUAACAAGCCAUAAUGUUGAUCCAGUCAAUGAUAUUAUCGUUUUUGAUAUCCCUCAGAAAGGAUUUUCUUUUAAACUGACACUCUUUUCUUUUCCUUUCUAGGCAUACUGUUUUCAUUUUUGCAUUUUUGCAGUUUUUUUGCGAAGGUUUUACAAUGGCCAGUUUUUUAUUUUUCUCCAGAAAUCAAAUUGCUUUUUAGAUAUCUUAAUUUCUUCAUCGCAGACUUGAAUCAGGAUGCGCCAAAUCUAUUGGCCACUCAGAAUUCUAUUUUAGAGAACAUAUUGAAAAUGAAAACUGAAUACUGAGUUAUGGUCACAUUUUGGCAACGUUGAGAAAGAAUGUGGCACAUAAAUAACGAUGAUCGGUUUGGAAGGAGUCGAUCGCAUGGAACAAAGCAGAAGUUGAAGUAGAAGAUAUGAAGAUUAUGAACAAUUUUUAGAGAUUGAACUUGAAAUCACAAAAUAUUAUGGUAGAUCGCCGCUUAUUCUCG